rnacentral:rRNA from 1 species
ACCAAAGGCAAGGCCUGAGAUGUAUCACCCUGAAUAUGCUUUUGGAAGCUAAGCAUGGUUGCCUCUGGUUAGUAUUUGGAUGGGCGGCCACCAGCAAAUACCAGGGGCCCGGUC